rnacentral:rRNA from 1 species
CCUACGGGAGGCAGCAGUGGGGAAUAUUGGGCAAUGGGGGAAACCCUGGCCCAGCAACGCCGCGUGAGGGAAGAAGGUUUUCGGAUCGUAAACCUCUGUCCUUGGUGAAGAGGAAGAGACGGUAGCCAAGGAGGAAGCCCCGGCUAACUACGUGCCAGCAGCCGCGGUAAU